AUGCGGAAGGAUCAUUACAGUAUUCUUUUGCCAGCGCUUAACUGCGCGGCGAAAAACCUUACACACAGUGUCUUUUUGAUACAGAACUCUUGCUUUGGUUUGGCCUAGAGAUAGGUUGGGCCAGAGGUUUAACAAAACACAAUUUAAUUAUUUUUACAGUUAGUCAAAUUUUGAAUUAAUCUUCAAAACUUUCAACAACGGAUCUCUUGGUUCUCGCAUCGAUGAAGAACGCAGCGAAAUGCGAUAAGUAAUAUGAAUUGCAGAUUUUCGUGAAUCAUCGAAUCUUUGAACGCACAUUGCGCCCUCUGGUAUUCCAGAGGGCAUGCCUGUUUGAGCGUCAUUUCUCUCUCAAACCCCCGGGUUUGGUAUUGAGUGAUACUCUUAGUCGGACUAGGCGUUUGCUUGAAAAGUAUUGGCAUGGGUAGUACUGGAUAGUGCUGUCGACCUCUCAAUGUAUUAGGUUUAUCCAACUCGUUGAAUGGUGUGGCGGGAUAUUUCUGGUAUUGUUGGCCCGGCCUUACAACAACCAAACAAGUUUGACCUCAAAUCAGGUAGGAAUACCCGCUGAACUUAAGCAUAUCANNNNCGGGAAGGAAANAACAUUACAGUAUUCUUUUGCCAGCGCUUAACUGCGCGGCGAAAACCUUACACACAGUGUCU
rnacentral:rRNA from 1 species